rnacentral:rRNA from 1 species
UUGACAUACUAAGAACUUUCCAGAGAUGGAUUGGUGCCUUCGGGAACUUAGAUACAGGUGCUGCAUGGCUGUCGUCAGCUCGUGUCGUGAGAUGUUGGGUUAAGUCCCGCAACGAGCGCAACCCUUUUCCUUAUUUGCCAGCGGGUCAUGCCGGGAACUUUAAGGAUACUGCCAGUGACAAACUGGAGGAAGGCGGGGACGACGUCAAGUCAUCAUGGCCCUUACGGCCAGGGCUACACACGUGCUACAAUGGUCGGUACAGAGGGUUGCUACCUCGCGAGAGGAUGCUAAUCUCAAAAAGCCGAUCGUAGUCCGGAUCGCAGUCUGCAACUCGACUGCGUGAAGUCGGAAUCGCUAGUAAUCGCGGAUCAGAAUGCCGCGGUGAAUACGUUCCCGGGCCUUGUACACACCGCCCGUCACACCAUGGGAGUUUGUUGCACCAGAAGUAGGUAGUCUAACCGCAAGGAGGACGCUUACCACGGUGUGGCCGAUGACUGGGGUGAAGUCGUAACAAGGUAGGCGUAGAUGA